CUUUUUUUUUUUUUUUUUUUUUUUUUUUUGGUCUUUUAGGGCUGCACUCUCAGCCUAUGGAAGUUCCCAGGCCAGGGGUUGAAAUGGAGCUGUAGCUGCCAGCCUAGGCCAUGGCCACAGCAAUGCCAGAUCUAAGCCAUGUCUGUGGCCUACACCACAGCUCACAACAACGCCGGAUCCCUAACCCACUGAGCAAGGCCAGGGAUGGAACCUGCAUUCUCAUGGUUAACCACUGAGCCACGACAGGAACUCCUGCCUACUCUUUUUUUUUUUUUUUGAGCAUCAUUAAUGCUUUGUUUACACCUCUCACCAUCUCUUUCACAAACAGGAUUAUGAUUGUAUUUUUUAUUUUUAUCUUUUUUUUUUGGCCUUUUUGCUAUUUCCUGGGCCGCUUCCGCGACAUACGGAGGUUCCCAGGUGCGGCCCUAGAAAAGGCAAAAAAGAUAAAAACAAAAACAAUUGGCAGCCCUAUAGCCUUGAUAUCAGUACAUAAAACAAUGGUGCAUCCUAUAAAUGACAGCUUCUUGGAUAAAACAAGAUACAUUUUUUAGCUCUGUGUUUCUCAGCCUGUGUAUUACUAGGAAGAAGGAAGCAGAAGCAAGUUUGAUGGAACACAGGAUUUUAGUAUGAACUCCUCAAUCCUCUCAAUGCCCAGCACAGGUUGUGAGCCCCCUACAGCUCUGCCCUCUGCCCUGCUGUCAGUCACCUUGGCCACUUGGUGCGGCUCCUUAUUUUUGUUUCUUUUCCUACUAGUAUGUGUCUGAUUACUGAUUCUUGCCCAUUCCAUGUGUCAGACUUGCCAGAGAUUGCUGCUUCUGCUCCACUGUCCUCUCAGUGUUUGCUCCUAUGUGCAUUUGGAGAGCAUUGGGAGAGAACAUUGCUUAGUCACAAAAGCAAUUGGAUUAUGCUGGAGAGAAAUCCCAUGAAGAAAACCAACUUCUACACUGAUGACAUAAGGGCUGAGCUUUCUUGACUAUUGGUUCCAGACAUAAUGCUUCUAUCUUACUUAAUGAUCUUAUUAUUAUUAUUUUUGUUUAUCCUUUAACCCAAAAGGGAGUGAUGGACAGAAUUGGGAUACAUGAGGACUGAGGAGCCUUUUUUUUUUUUUUUUUGUCUUUUUAGGGCCACACCCAUGGCAUAUGGAGGUUCCCAGGCUAGAGGUCUAUGUAGAGCUGUAGCUGCCGGCCUACACCACAGCCCCAGCAGUGCGGGAUUCAAGCCGCAUCUGCGACCUACACCACAGCUCAUGGCAACACCAGAUCCUUAACCCACUGAGGGAGGCCAGGAAUUGAACCUGCAACCUCAUGGUUCUUAGUUGUUUUUGUUAACCACUGAGCCACGACGGGCACUCCAGGAACCUCUUAUCUUUGGAUUCCUAGCAUGUUCCUUCUACCCCCAUGCCUCUUUUUCUAGGGAAAACAGAUCUAGCCCUUGGGCCACAGGGGUGACCUGAUGCCAACAUGGCACAGUGGGGUCCUUUCAGGGGCCUGGACAAUGACCUUGAAAGAGACAUAUUCUCUUUUUCUU
rnacentral:lncRNA from 1 species